GGGGGGUUAGCUCAGCUGGCUAGAGCACCUGCCUUGCACGCAGGGGGUCAUCGGUUCGACUCCGAUAUCCUCCA
rfam:Chitinophagaceae bacterium IBVTCB1 contig000002, whole genome shotgun sequence.